CGGGGCGUAGCGCAGUCUGGUAGCGCACUUCGUUCGGGACGAAGGGGUCGGAAGUUCGAAUCUUCUCGCCCCGACCA
rnacentral:tRNA from 1 species